AGAAAAAUUGCUUGAAACCAGGGGGCGGAGAUUGCAGUGAGCCAAGAUCUCUCCACUGCACUCCAACCUGAGCAACAAGAG
rnacentral:snRNA from 1 species